GUGGGGAAUUUUGCGCAAUGGGCGAAAGCCUGACGCAGCAACGCCGCGUGAGUGAUGAAGGCCUUCGGGUCGUAAAGCUCUGUCAGGGGGGAAGAACCGCCAGGUGGCUAAUACCCGCUUGGUCUGACGGUACCCUCAAAGGAAGCACCGGCUAACUCCGUGCCAGCAGCCGCGGUAAUACGGAGGGUGCAAGCGUUGUUCGGAAUUAUUGGGCGUAAAGCGCGUGUAGGCGGUUUGUUAAGUCUGGUGUGAAAGCCCUGGGCUCAACCUGGGAAGUGCAUUGGAUACUGGCAAACUUGAGUACGGGAGAGGAUAGUGGAAUUUCGAGUGUAGGGGUGAAAUCCGUAGAUAUUCGAAGGAACACCGGUGGCGAAGGCGGCUAUCUGGACCGAUACUGACGCUGAGACGCGAAAGCGUGGGGAGCAAACAGGAUUAGAUACCCCAGUAGUCC
rnacentral:rRNA from 1 species